CUACGGGACGCAGCAGUGGGGAAUAUUGCACAAUGGGCGCAAGCCUGAUGCAGCCAUGCCGCGUGUAUGAAGAAGGCCUUCGGGUUGUAAAGUACUUUCAGCGGGGAGGAAGGGAGUAAAGUUAAUACCUUUGCUCAUUGACGUUACCCGCAGAAGAAGCACCGGCAACUCCGUGCCAGCAGCCGCGGUAAUACGGAGGGUGCAAGCGUUAAUCGGAAUUACUGGGCGUAAAGCGCACGCAGGCGGUUUGUUAAGUCAGAUGUGAAAUCCCCGGGCUCCACCGGGGAACUGCAUCUGGACUGGCCAGCUUGAGUCUCGUAGAGGGGGGUAGAAUUCCAGGUGUAGCGGUGAAAUGCGUAGAGAUCUGGAGGAAUACCGGUGGCGAAGGCGGCCCCCUGGACGAAGACUGACGCUCAGGUGCGAAAGCGUGGGGAGCAAACAGGAUUAGAUACCCCGGUAGUC
rnacentral:rRNA from 1 species